rnacentral:lncRNA from 1 species
GGAGAGGAAGUUGGGGGACUGGGCAGGUUCCAGGAAAGGCGUGAGCCACGAGAUGGAACGAAGCAAGACUUCUAAGACAGGGCAGACUUGAUGGCCAACCUGCACCCGUUCAGGGUCACCACCUGCACAUUGCUAGCUCUCACGGGACACUGUAACACUCAUUACUCCUCCCUGGCCACCACUACUCAGCGCUCACAGAGAGCAAAACACCAUGAAGAUUGUUCCAGGGCACGGAGCUUGGCCCAACUCCACAGAGGACUCCUCAAGAGGUCUCCUGAUCUUUAGACUGAAAAAAGAAGGAAGGGAAGGAGGGAGAAGGAGGCGGACCUGUGUUGGAGUCAAUCCCGGGAAUCCAUCUCUCCAGGUCGCCGAGCCUGAAGCCAUCUCCAAACAGGUCUCUUGGACGUCUCAGGCUGUGCAGGGUGAGCUGUUGUGGGAAAGGACACUGAACUCCAGUCAGGACACUUGGCCAUUCUGUGACUACAGUUGCGUCUUUGAUUUGUUUCCUCUUUUGCAAAAUGGGGGUGAUGGAGCUCCCCCCCCCAAGUGGUGCACAGAAGCACCUCAGGGCUCAAGUGAAUGCCAGCUAGGGCUGGGAUCAUCUCCAAGGGCUAUUCCAGCAGAGGCUGCCCUCCCUCCUCAGGACCACUCUCUUUUUGUUAUCCCAGAAGUGCAGCCCCAGCUGGAAGGAGGAGACACGGUGCCUCAGGUGGACACCCAUGCAACCAAUUCGUCCUGGGAAAAAGACAUAAAAUCUCAGAAAUGGCAUAGCCCACCUCUUCCCCAGGGCUGCCAGGCAUGAAAAAUCUUAAGCUCUUGGACACGGGGGUGGGAGGAGCAAAAGCGGGGUUCUUGACACUGCUGAGGAAGCCCCCAGGUGUGGCUGCUACUUACUGCCCUCCAAAGGAAAGAGCAGCGAAGAAGCUGGGGGCUGCAGGCAGAUCCCAGCAGAGAACUGAAGACUGGUUGUAUCCUAGAGAGGGGCUGCAUAACCGCUGAUGUCACCAGAGGAACCUGGAGUCAGCUUCUCUCUCUCCUCUCCCCCUCCCUCCUCCCCUCCCUUCCAUUCCCUCCCUGCUCUGUGUGCACUGGCAAGCACAGGCGUGCUUACACAUGCUCCUGGCAUCUGGAAGCCAGAGGUUGACCUUGGGUGUCUUCUUCAAUCACACUUCUACCUUAUUUUUGUCUUUGUUCUUGUUUUUUGAGACAGGGUCUUACUAUGUAGACCAGACUGGCCUUGAACUCAUAGAGGCAGGCCUGCAUCUGCCUUUUAAGUGCUGGGAUGAAGGUGCUGAAAGUGGGGCUGGAGAG